CGGCUGUGACGAAGAUUUGUCAUGCACCACUCUGAUAUCGAUGAUGACAUCGAUCAGUGAUGAUAAUUGACUCAAAACCAUAGAUCUGAGCCC